rnacentral:tRNA from 1 species
GUUGGUGUAUCUCAGUGGUAGAGUGCAUGCUCUGUAUAUAUGAUGUCCUGGGUUCAAUUCCCAGCUUCUCA